AAGGUCGCCGCAACGGUAAUUCAAUUUAGUACGAGAGGAACCGUUGAUUCAGAUAAUUGGUUUUUGCGGCUGUCUGACCAGGCAGUGCCGCGAAGCUACCAUCUGCCGGAUUAUGGCUGAACGCCUCUAAGUCAGAAUCCGUACCGGAACGCGGCGAUGUUGCCCCGCACGUUGUAGUUGGAUACGAAUAGGCCUACGGGCCCUGAACCUCAGCAGGUCGGUGACGGCUCCCGGGAAGAGACUCUCGGGCGCCAGCUGACGGAUUGCAAUGUCACCACGCGCGGGGAUAGAUCCUCUGCAGACGACUGAAAUGACCAAGCGGGUCGUGUAAGCGGUCAAGUAGCCUAGUUGUUACGAGUCGCUGAGCGUCAGCCCGAUCCUUGGCUCGAUUU
rfam:Coccidioides immitis RS genomic scaffold supercont3.5, whole genome shotgun sequence.